rnacentral:rRNA from 1 species
GAUGAACGCUAGCUACAGGCUUAACACAUGCAAGUCGAGGGACUGGCGCAUGGGUGAGUAACACGUAUCCAACCUGCCAUUUACUCGGGGAUAACCUUUCGAAAGCAAGAUUAAUACCCGAUAUAAAGGCUCGGGAUGCGUGCCAGUAGGUUGUUGGGAAGGUAACGACCCACCAAGCAUUCGAUGGAUAGGGGUUAUGAGAGGAAGGUCACCUACAUAGGAGCUGAGGCACGGUCCAAUCUCGUACGGGCUGCGGCAGUGAGGAAUAGUGGGGAAGAUGUUCUAGCCUGAACCAGCCAAGUAGCGUGAAGGAUGAAGGCUUAUGUUUCGUAAUCUUCUUUUAUAUAAGAAUAUGUAUUAUAUGAAUAAGGAUCGGCUAACUCCGUGCCAGCAGCCGCGGUAAUUC